rnacentral:rRNA from 1 species
AUACGGAGGAUCCGAGCGUUAUCCGGAUUUAUUGGGUUUAAAGGGUGCGUAGGUGGUUUGAUAAGUCAGCGGUGAAAGUUUGCAGCUUAACUGUAAAAAUGCCGUUGAAACUGUUGUUCUUGAGUGUAGAUGAGGUAGGCGGAAUUCGUAGUGUAGCGGUGAAAUGCUUAGAUAUUACGAAGAACUCCAAUUGCGUAGGCAGCUUACUAGGCUACAACUGACGCUGAGGCACGAAGGUGUGGGUAUC